rnacentral:rRNA from 1 species
GACGAACGCUGGCGGCGUGCUUAACACAUGCAAGUCGAACGGAAAGGCCCUUCGGGGUACUCGAGUGGCGAACGGGUGAGUAACACGUGGGUGAUCUGCCCUGCACUUUGGGAUAAGCCUGGGAAACUGGGUCUAAUACCGAAUAGGACCACGCGCUUCAUGGUGUGUGGUGGAAAGCUUUUGCGGUGUGGGAUGGGCCCGCGGCCUAUCAGCUUGUUGGUGGGGUAAUGGCAUACCAAGGCGACGACGGGUAGCCGGCCUGAGAGGGUGACCGGCCACACUGGGACUGAGAUACGGCCCAGACUCCUACGGGAGGCAGCAGUGGGGAAUAUUGCACAAUGGGCGCAAGCCUGAUGCAGCGACGCCGCGUGAGGGAUGACGGCCUUCGGGUUGUAAACCUCUUUCACCAGGGACGAAGCGUAAGUGACGGUACCUGGAGAAGAAGCACCGGCCAACUACGUG